rnacentral:rRNA from 1 species
AAUGAACGCUGGCGGCAGGCCUCAAACAUGCAAGUCUAGGGGGGUAGCAAUACCCACCGGCGGACGGGUGCGUAACACGUGGGAAUAUACCUUUUGGUUCGGAACAACUGAGGGAAACUUCAGCUAAUACCGAAUGUGUCCUUGCGGAGAAAGAUUUAUCGCCAAAGGAUUAGCCCGCGUUCGAUUAGCUAGUUGGUAGGGUAACGGCCUACCAAGGCGACGAUCGAUAGCUGUUCUGAGAGGAAGAUCAGCCACACUGGGACUGAGACA